ensembl:lncRNA
GAAACCCUCUGAAAGAAUGCGACUGUGUCUGGGAAGGAGACUGAGGUGGCCGACAGCAGCUGGGAAAACAAGUCUGCUUCUAGGAGCACGAAGAAGACGGGUCCUUGACUCGGGAACAGAAGCCACGAGACACCAAGACGAGAAGAAUCAGAGAAACUGUUGGUCCCUGCAGGGACUGGAAGGUUAGAAGGAAGGAGGUGUUGGAUGGCGUGCUGGGAAGAAGAGCCUGAAGGUCCAGCAGUGGUUCAGUUGUUCAGAAGAGCCUGAAGGUCCAGCAGUGGUUCAGAUGUUCAGAAGAAGAGCCUGAAGGUCCAGCAGUGGUUCAGAUGUUCAGAAGAAGAGCCUGAAGGUCCAGCAGUGGUUCAGAUGUUCAGAAGAGCCUGAAGGUCCAGCAGUGGUUCAGAUGUUCAGAAGAAGAGCCUGAAGGUCCAGCAGUGGUUCAGAUGUUCAGAAGAAGAGCCUGAAGGUCCAGCAGUGGU